CUCCUGACCUCAAGUGAUCCGCCCACCUCGGCCUCCCAAAGUGCUGGGAUUACAGGCAUAAGCCAGCACACCCAGCCCAGUGUAGUAAAUCUUUUAAGUGAAUUUGUAUUCUACUAGUUACAACAACACCUACAUACUUUUAAAAAAUAGUGAUGCAAGGUGAAUGUCAGCCAUCAUGCCUGGGAGCCUCCCUCCACCUAUAGAAGCUCCACUGCCUCUCUUGUGUCCGAGGGGCUGGAGGCCAGAAGGGAUGUUGGGGUCCUCUUUUUGGCGUCUGAGCAGGGAUAUCGCGGUCCCACCCCGGAACUACUCACUAGUGCUGACAGGGCGGGGGGGAGGGGGUGGUGGUUAGCGUUUUUGCCUGGAAGUGGACUCCUAUCUUCCAGGGGCCAUUAGCUGGGGAGGAGCAGCCAAAUCCCCAGACAGCCAGCUCCCCUGCAGCCUGACUCUCCCACAUCCUGCCACCUGGGGAGUGGGUGGAAAAUCCUGAAUCUGUAUCCAGAGACUGCUUCCUGCAUCACUUACCACUCCAGGCUGUUGAUAAUUCCACCCGGUUUACAGUGACCUGGACAAAUAUUUAAUCCUCAGCCUUCCUAAUAGUUUAAAUCAAAGCUGUCAGCCCAUGGCCAGAGUCUGGUUCCGGCUUGCCGUGAGCAGUGUCUCCUGCCAAGCUCAACCCAGGCCUGAUGAGUGCCUGUCCUCAGCACACCUUGGCCAGGGCUUCGGACCUUGUUUGCAUUGCCUUUUGCUCUAGGGGCUUUAAUGAGGAAAUUCAUGCUCUGCCGUCAUUCUAAUGGCUGAUCACAUCAUUCAUUUGAGGUGCAUUAAAGCUGGGGCUGGGUUCCAAUGUAAGUAACUGCAGAAGGGGGAGGGAUUGCAACGAGGUAGACAAAUCGAAGUUAAUGAUGCACAGCUUCUGAGCAAACAGGGGAAGUGAGGGUUGCAGAGCUUGGCUACGGGUCCCAGAGGAGCCUUGGAAGAAUGCCUGUGCUUGCUUGGGUGGGAGGCGAAGGGUUCCGGGAGAGGUGAGCGGAUCCGUGGUAGCAUGAACACGCAUGGUUUGCAAGCUGUCCCCUUGGAUUAGAUCGUGACCAAGGUCAGGUUAUUCUCGUUUAACAGGUGAGGAAACUGAGGUUCAAACUUAAAUAAUUUGCCCAUAUAACUUAACCAGUAAGAAGCAAAGCCAGGAUGUGAACCCAGAUUUGCUUGGUGAGAAAAAAAAAUAUGCUACUUUCUACCACACCACAGCUGUUGUGGUGUUGAUUCAUCCUCUGUGCCUGCCAUUCGGCGACUGCUAAAUAAGCUGUCAGAUGGAAGUGCAUGGAGCAGUCGGCUCGGUGUAGACAGCACACUGUCUCAGCAGCCGGCGUGGGCAGCUGCAGUGGACCGCUGCAGUGGACCUGUGGCCUCAGAAGCAAGCAGACCCCGCAAGCGGGACCGACCCUGCAGAGCCCCACAUGGGGCCAGGGCUCCCUAGGCGUGUGCUGAGCAGUGCUGCCCUCUGGGCCCCUCUUGCAGGUGUGCCUUUGUCUUUCAGGAUGGUCUCCUGCUGGAGGCCACUUGGCCACUGGGGUGCAUUCACUGCUAGAGGCUGUCAGGAGGGCUUUGAGGUUUCUAGGGAGUCCAGUGAUCUGAUGGGAUCUGCGUUUCCAGAAGGUGGUUCUGCCCGUGGGCUUGGGGGAUGGGUGGUCAGAGGGAAGCUGUUAGAGUCAUCCAGGAGAGAGACAACAAGGGCCUGGAUCAGGCAACCCUGGGAGGGUUGGAGGGGACUGCCCUGCAGCAGAGAGGUCAGUGAAGAAGCUAGCUUCCAUCUGAGGCAGGAAGUGGCAAGGGCGGAAACAGAGAAGGGCAGGGGAAGAAGGGCAGGCUGGGAGGCAUUCUGGAGUGGAGUGGGCAGGGGCUGGACGACCAAGAUGUGAGAUGGGCGUCAGAUGAGAGCCCCUCACUCGAGUUCCUCCUUACACAGUCCUCACAGCAACCUGGACCUGAGUUUUUCCUCUGGAAACUUGGCCUCAUCCAGGUCCCCCACGCUCACAUGCCCUUGCCCCACAUGUCAGGAAGGAAGGCUGCUUGGUUUUGGAGCCAUCUCCCCAGGCCCACAGUGCCAGGCCCUAGCCCCAAGAGCCAUCCCAGCCAGCAUCAGCACCCUCAGCAAGGCCCCAUGGGUCCCCAGCUUUCCCAGGGUCCUGUGGCCCAGCCUGCCUCACUCUGGCAGCAGUAGCUGCCCUUCCGUGUGUGUGGUCCUAGGGGCACCCUCGUCUUCCCUGUUUCCCACGGCCCAUCUGGAGAAGGCUGCCAGCUUCGGCUUGCUGGCAUCUCGCAGGGGUCCCUUCUGUGGGCACAUGAGGGUAUACCCUGGGCCCACUCAUAUCCCAGUGUAGGUGGCUGAUGGUAGGCCAGUGACCGGGGCAGAGCGCCACUCUCCUGGGCACGUGUGACAGAGGUGGAGGGCCUGAGCUGCGCCUGCCCCCCAGCCAGACCACAGCCAGACCAGGCGGCGCUCCCUCCACCCAGCCCUGCCUCCGUCAUUUUACCUUUUAUUUCUCCCACCUCCAACCACCAAAAGAUGUUUCUCAGGGACGUCAACUGGAAGACAAGGUAAAUAGCUAGUCUUCUAGCAGAUUCCCGCGGCAGUGGGACUGUCGGAGAGAAGGUGAGCCGCAAGCCAGCCAGAUCGUACCUUCCUGCCAAGACUUGCGGAUGCGUGUGAGGAAAGGCGGGCAGAAGGUACCCGCUAGCACGCUGCCACGUGGGCCCCCGUGGGAGGGUUGUAGAGCAAGUGAAAAAAGGUUGCAAGCCCCCAGUUCCAAAAGGUUGCAGAGGAAGUUGUACUGAGAGGUCACCACUUCUGUGUGACAGCAGAGACGUGGGAAAGAGGCGAAACUGUAAAUCUCUGGAAAGAGAUCCAAGGUUUCCCAUCCGGGGAAGGGCCUGCAGAUGUUCGUUUGAUAUUUUCUCAGCUUCUAAAUAUUUAGAAAUGAAGGUGGAAUGUUUUGUUGAGUGGGGAGAUCGGGCGGGUCAUUGGCUAGUGAGCCCUCUCUCCCCACUCAGCACUAGACACCCCCAAUAUAUCUUGAGGCAGUAAAACCCCGGCAGGCACCUGCCUGUGUAUCCUAGCAGGAACAUCCUCUUUGACUCGUGUUUGGCAGUUAGGCCGGGCAGUAUAUUUCUGUCACAGGGAAGAAGCCCAUUGCCCUUCCAGAUGCAGGGAACAAAGGGUGGGCUGGGCCCAGCUUGGCAGUUCCAGGAGUGCACGCUCGCUGGGGAGGCCUGGCUGCAGCUGCACACUUGCUCCUCGUGUCCCGUGGGGUUGCCUGGGUUCGGGGGUGGAGAUGCUUGAGCAGCACAGCUUCGAGGGGCGGCUGGGUUUUUGUCAGGUGACCUGGGGUGGAGUGACCAGCGCCUGGCUGGGAAGGAAAGCUGGCCUGAGGCAGGCUCCCCACAACCAUCACAUGCUGUGAAGGACGGAAACAGGAGAGGAGGGGCCUGGAGAUCCCUGGCAGGAGGUGGCUGAGGCAGGGAUGGACCCUGCUCAGGUUUUCUGAGCCCUGGAUUGUGGUUUGUCCUUCAGUUUUCUGGUAAAGGAUGUAGAUGAAAUUGAGCCAGCAGAGAGAUCUCAUAAAAGGAAGCAGGUUUCAGGAUCACCCAGACCUUGGUUCGGAUCCUAACCCGGGAACUUUCCAGCUCUGUGGCCUAGACAGACCUCCUCCUCUUUGAAGCUCAGUGUUGAUAGUGCUCAUUUUCAAAGAUAAUAGUUCCAGCACUUUGAGAGGCUGAGACAAGAAGAUUGCUUGGCUCCGGGUUCGAGAUCAACCUGGACAACAGUUGCCCUGCUCCCCACCCCUUCCCCCCUCCCAAUAAACCAAAAAGUUAUCCGGGUGGGGCGGCACCUGUGGUCCCAGCUUCUUGGGAGGCAGAGAUGGGAGGAUCACUUGAGCCCAGGAGUUUGAGGUUAUAGUGAGCUAUGAUUGCACCGUUGCUUUCCAGCCUGGACAGCAGAGCAAGACCCUAUCUCUAAAAAACAUAAUAAACAAAUU